GCUGGCGUAGCUCAGUCGGUAGAGCACACCCUUGGUAAGGGUGAGGUCACCGGUUCAAUCCCGGUCGCCAGCU
rnacentral:tRNA from 1 species